UGGGGAAUUUUGGACAAUGGGCGCAAGCCUGAUCCAGCCAUGCCGCGUGCGGGAAGAAGGCCUUCGGGUUGUAAACCGCUUUUGUCAGGGAAGAAAUCUUCUGAGUUAAUACCUCGGGAGGAUGACGGUACCUGAAGAAUAAGCACCGGCUAACUACGUGCCAGCAGCCGCGGUAAUACGUAGGGUGCAAGCGUUAAUCGGAAUUACUGGGCGUAAAGCGUGCACAGGCGGUUUUGUAAGACAGAGGUGAAAUCCCCGGGCUCAACCUGGGAACUGCCUUUGUGACUGCAAGGCUUGAGUGCGGCAGAGGGGGGAUGGAAUUCCGCGUGUAGCAGUGAAAUGCGUAGAUAUGCGGAGGAACACCGAUGGCGAAGGCAAUCCCCUGGGCCUGCACUGACGCUCAUGCACGAAAGCGUGUGGAGCAAA
rnacentral:rRNA from 1 species